AUUGAACGCUGGCGGCAGGCUUAACACAUGCAAGUCGAGCGGUAACAGAGAGAAGCUUGCUUCUCUGCUGACGAGCGGCGGACGGGUGAGUAAUGCCUAGGAAUCUGCCUAGUAGUGGGGGAUAACUUGCCGAAAGGUAAGCUAAUACCGCCUACGUCCUAUGGGAGAAAGGAGGGGACCUUCGGGCCUUUCGCUAUUAGAUGAGCCUAGGCCGGAGUAGUUAGUUGGUGAGGUAAUGGCUAACCAAGACCGCGAUCCGUAACUGGUCUGAGAGGAUGAUCAGUCACACUGGAACUGAGACACGGGCCAGACUCCUACGGGAGGCAGCAGUGGGGAAUAUUGGACAAUGGGGGGAACCCUGAUCCAGCCAUGCCGCGUGUGUGAAGAAGGUCUUAGGAUUGUAAAGCACUUUAAGUUGGGAGGAAGAGCAGUUAACUAAUAUUUGACUGUUUUGACGUUACCGACAGAAUAAGCACCGGCUAACUUCGUGCCAGCCGCCGCAGUAA
rnacentral:rRNA from 1 species